rnacentral:misc_RNA from 1 species
CCGAGUUAUACAACUCAUCAACCCAAUGUGAACGUACCUAAACUGUUGCUUCGGCGGGAUCUGACCGGGCGCUGUAGCAGCCCGGGCCAAGGCGCCCCGCCGGAGGACCAACCUAAACUCUUGUAUGUCUGGAUAAUAUGAGUUUUCUGAGCUACUAGCGAGAGUCGAAAAUGAAUUA